UACGGAGGGUGCAAGCGUUAUCCGGAUUUACUGGGUUUAAAGGGUGCGUAGGUGGGUUGGGAAGUCAGUGGUGAAAUACUUUCGCUUAACGAAGGAACUGCCAUUGAUACUAUCAAUCUUGAAUGUAGUGGAGGUAGGCGGAAUGCGUCAUGUAGCGGUGAAAUGCUUAGAUAUGACGCAGAACACCAAUUGCGAAGGCAGCUUGCUACACUACUAUUGACACUGAGGCACGAAAGCGUGGGGAUUAAACAGG
rnacentral:rRNA from 1 species